GAACGCGAAGAACCUUACCAAAUCUUGACAUCCUCUGACCCCUCUAGAGAUAGAGUUUUCCCCUUCGGGGGACAGAGUGACAGGUGGUGCAUGGUUGUCGUCAGCUCGUGUCGUGAGAUGUUGGGUUAAGUCCCGCAACGAGCGCAACCCUUAAGCUUAGUUGCCAUCAUUAAGUUGGGCACUCUAAGUUGACUGCCGGUGACAAACCGGAGGAAGGUGGGGAUGACGUCAAAUCAUCAUGCCCCUUAUGAUUUGGGCUACACACGUGCUACAAUGGACAAUACAAAGGGUAGCGAAACCGCGAGGUCAAGCAAAUCCCAUAAAGUUGUUCUCAGUUCGGAUUGUAGUCUGCAACUCGACUAUAUGAAGCUGGAAUCGCUAGUAAUCGUAGAUCAGCAUGCUACGGUGAAUACGUUCCCGGGUCUUGUACACACC
rnacentral:rRNA from 1 species